UGUAGUUUAAAGGUCACAGGCGGCGCCCUCGGUGGUGGAGGUGCGGAGCCGUGAUGUAGGCGGGCUGGUUCUGGUGCCCCAGACAAAGCUGUGUAGAGGCAAGUGCGGCUCGUGAGAAGACGCUGGAAAAUGACCUAGAGUUAACAGCAGGUGGCAGUGUUAGCAAAGGUUGUGCUUCUGGGACCUAAUCAGCCUGGAGAGGAGCCUCUUUCCAAUCUGAUGAUGAACCUACUGAGGAAAGAAGAGGAUGUUGGUAUAUAAAAAUGCCAAAAGAAAUAUGGAAAUUGAAAUCAUGUAGUUGGCAUUGGGAAUUGAAAACAAAAUAUAGACAAACUGCUGCAUUUUACAUCUGUGGGAACUAAAUCGAAGAAAGAUUAAGUGGGCUGUCUGAGAUGUCCACUAGUGAGUAUUUGAGGAUCAUCAGACUCCUAUUCCAAAGCACUAUCCUGGGAGAACAGAAGUUUGGUCAUUCAGGCAGUAGUAUCCAAAUACUCAGGUGGCAAAGUAGAAGCUUGAAGACAACUGUAGAAGAACCAGCAGUGGGAUUGGAGCUCAUAUUCUCUGCCUGGUUGACCUAAUGAUCUGGAGUUUAAAAAAAGUGACUUGGAAUAUCUUUAGCUGGCCGCACUUCAAAAGCACCAGCUCUCAGAAGCAGUAACUCCAGGAGUGGCACCAUAAACAGCCUUUGGCUCGUCAUUGACCUGGAGGCCCUGGCUCUGCACACCAGCCUGUCUCCACAAACAUGCCUGUGAUUGACCCACAAAAUGCACUCGCUCCAUGAGGGCCAAUAUCCAUCCCAUUGAAUGAGUUAAAUGGGCCAGGGGUAGCAAUGUGUGGCCAG